rnacentral:rRNA from 1 species
GCCUGCAGCCCUACAACCCUCCUGUUGUGAUCUCGGGAGAUCUCACAAGCUAUGCAGGGUCAGGCCUCCUCAGCAGUUGCUUGGGAGACUUCCAAGAAAAAGCUGAAUGCUGCGGGAA